UAAAUGGGCUUUUCUUCUCUAACUCCUUUCUACUUUUUCCCUCCCUGCUUCUCUCUCUCUCAUUUCAAAUUUCUUCCCCCACUUCGUCUCUAACUACUGCCUCUCUCUCUACUUUCUCCCUCCUCUCCCCUUCUCUCACACUCUCUUUUCUUCCUCAAAAUAGCCAAUUCACCGCCAUCUUCUUCCCCUACCACUAACAACAUCGGAUUUCUCAACUGUCGAUCGACAUGAAAAUCAUGCCUGCCUACUUGACAAAACCUUUUUCAGUCUACCAAUAAAGGAAAAAGGAUUACUGGUGACAUGAAAGUUGUGCUCGAUGCUCUUUUUCGUAUUCCACUGCGUGUCGUGGUCUUUCCAUUCCUGGUUGGAUGACUACUAUGGACAGAGAUCACAACUACUCCCAGUCUCUUGUGGAUCACAAAUAAGUACCAAAGGAUGCCCCGGGAGAGCUGGAUCACAAAUGCUUCCAAAUUCUUUGUUCAUAGACUAAUUUGAAAUCCUUCCAAUUUUAUGGUUCUAAAAGAGUUGCAGUAGGUAAAUCUUAAUGAUUGGCAGAAAAUUGGUUUGGGAUAUAUUAUUCUCAAGACAGUAUUUGUUAUCAGUUUACUUUCCAUUGGGUAUUUGUUCUUCCUAUGCUUUAUUCUUAUCCCAUCUUUCUCCGUUUUAGUCUCCAUAGGAUGGAUUUCUGUGGUGUAAAUUUAUUCAUCUAGUUUGUUUGAUUUAUGGACGCAUUUUGGUAUGGUAGAGCUUCUGCAUGAGAUCACAAUUGCUAUUACCAAGUGGUUAUUCCAUCAAUCACAGAUUCAGUGUAUUCAAUGAGUUCUCAAAAAAAGUGAAAGGAGAAGCUGACAAGUAUCUUCCCUUUCCUUUAGAAUUAUAAUAUAUUCUUUCAUGUUUAUUUGUUUUAACUUUUCUGCCGUGUUUAGGAUAUCUUCUUGUCAAAUUGAACAUUCAACGUAUUUGUAAUUGUGAUGAUUUUGGAAUUAAUGUUUGGUCAAUUUCUGUACAGAAUCAUUAAUUUUGAA